rnacentral:rRNA from 1 species
GAGUAGUAAAUGUUUUGGACAGGAAACUUAAAGAAUUUGGCGGUGUAUAUUCUAAUUAGAGGAAUAUGGUUUUUAAUUGAUACUCCCCACGUAUUUUACUUAGAUUUAUUUAUUUUGUAUAUCUCCGUCUUAAAAAAACUUUUUAAAAUAUUUUUUAUUUUUUAUAAUUUAAAAUAAGUCAGGUCAAGGUGCAGAUUAUAUUUAAGUUAAAAUGUAUUACAAUAAAUUUAUUUUUGGAAUAAAAUUUAAAUAUUUUAGGAAAUUGGAUUUAUGAGUAAAUUUUUUUAUAUAAUAAUUUAUUGAAUUGUGUUAAUAUGCAUGCACACAUC